AGUGAACGCUGGCGGUAGGCCUAACACAUGCAAGUCGAACGGCAGCACAGUAAGAGCUUGCUCUUACGGGUGGCGAGUGGCGGACGGGUGAGGAAUACAUCGGAAUCUACUUUUUCGUGGGGGAUAACGUAGGGAAACUUACGCUAAUACCGCAUACGACCUACGGGUGAAAGCAGGGGAUCUUCGGACCUUGCGCGAUUGAAUGAGCCGAUGUCGGAUUAGCUAGUUGGCGGGGUAAAGGCCCACCAAGGCGACGAUCCGUAGCUGGUCUGAGAGGAUGAUCAGCCACACUGGAACUGAGACACGGUCCAGACUCCUACGGGAGGCAGCAGUGGGGAAUAUUGGACAAUGGGCGCAAGCCUGAUCCAGCCAUACCGCGUGGGUGAAGAAGGCCUUCGGGUUGUAAAGCCCUUUUGUUGGGAAAGAAAAGCAGCAGGGUAAUACCCCGCUGUUCUGACGGUACCCAAAGAAUAAGCACCGGCUAACUUCGUG
rnacentral:rRNA from 1 species